AGAAGCUCAGGCUCAGCUAGAAGCAGCUGCUCACCUGGUAAAGCUGCUGGACUCACCUGCUCAGAGUUUCCUGAAACCAGGCUGGUGGGAGAAAACACUCGCUGUGCAGGUUCUCUGCAGAUCAGGAGGUCCAGAGUUUGGAGACCAGCAUUAAUCUUCCCGUGGACUUUGGAGAAAGCAGCUGUUUUUUGUUCACAUCUUCACUGCGGCUCUGCCGUGUCUGCAGAUACGACACAUUCAGUAAACUCCACACUUACAGUGAUAAUCAGUGACAACUGCUUUCAGUCUGGAUCUCAUUUCAUGAAGUGUUCACAUUUCAAAGAACAUAACGCCGGCAUUACUCUCACCUGCUCAGACUCGGUGCGCCUGCUGAAUGGAUCCAGUCGCUGUUCAGGCAGACUGCAGGUGAAGACUAA